rnacentral:lncRNA from 1 species
GGCAGAUUAUUGUCUAUUGAAAUUUCAUCAUUUAGUUUCCCAUUUUGAUCAAGAGGAAAUUCAUGCUUGCUUUCACUGGUAAAUUCCAUUAUAGAAUCACUUUCUUGAUUUUCAAUGCUUUCCAGCGAAGAAGUCCCAUUGUUGUGCAUCCCGUUCCCAGAUGGGAAAUCAUUUGCAUUUCUAUCCACAAGAAGCCCAAUAGGAUUGUUCAAACCCUCUUCUACAAAAUCAUCAUUAUCUCCUUCAUUAUCCACUGCAAGCUCAAAAGGAUUGUCCAGGUCUUCAUCCUCAGAUGUAAAAUCGCUGUCUGUGUCUCCACUCUUUCUCUGUGAUUCACUGUCAAUGUCUCCACUGCCACCGUA